AACGAACGCUGGCGGCAGGCUUAACACAUGCAAGUCGAGCGCAGCGCGGGGGCAACCCUGGCGGCGAGCGGCGAGCGGGUGAGUAACACGUGAGUAACCUGCCCUGGACUCUGGGAUAACCCCGAGAAAUCGGAGCUAAUACCGGAUAGGACCUUUCCCUGCAUGGGGUUUGGUGGGAAGUUUUUUGGUCUGGGAUGGACUCGCGGCCUAUCAGCUUGUUGGUGAGGUAAUGGCUCACCAAGGCGUCGACGGGUAGCCGGCCUGAGAGGGUGACCGGCCACACUGGGACUGAGACACGGCCCAGACUCCUACGGGAGGCAGCAGUGGGGAAUAUUGCACAAUGGGCGCAAGCCUGAUGCAGUAACGCCGCGUGCGGGAUGACGGCCUUCGGGUUGUAAACCGCUUUUAGUAGGGAAGAAGGGCUUCGGCUUGACGGUACCUGCAGAAAAAGGACCGGCUAACUACGUGCCAGCCGCCGCCGUAACAC
rnacentral:rRNA from 1 species